rnacentral:rRNA from 1 species
AGGGAAUAUUAGAAAUGGACGAAAGUCUGAUCUAGCAACACCGCGUGUGCGAAGAAGGCCUUCGGGUUGUAAAGCACUUUUUGGAAGGAUUAGGAAGGAAUGUACUUCCAGAAUAAGUCUCGGCUAACUACGUGCCAGCAGCCGCGGUAACACGUAGGAGGCAAACGUUAUCCGGAUUUACUGGGCGUAAAGCGCGUGUAGGUGGUUCUGUAAGUAGGGCGUGAAAGCUCCUGGCUCAACUGGGAGAGGCCGUUCUAAACUGCAGAGCUAGAGGAUGGUAGAGGGGGGUGGAAUUCCGGGUGUAGCGGUGGAAUGCGCAGAUAUCCGGAGGAACACCAGUGGCGAAAGCGGCCUCCUGGACCAUUCCUGACACUCAGACGCGAAAGCUAGGGUAGCAAACGG